CUAAUACAUGCAAGUCGAGCGCGGGAAGCAGACUGAAGCCUUCGGGCGGACGUCUGUGGAACGAGCGGCGGAUGGGUGAGUAACACGUGGGCAACCUGCCUGUAAGCUCGGGAUAACUAGCGGAAACGCUAGCUAAUACCGAAUAACGCUGCGCACCGCAUGGCGCGCAGAUGAAAGGCGGCGCAAGCUGCCACUUACAGAUGGGCCUGCGGCGCAUUAGCUAGUUGGUGGGGUAACGGCCUACCAAGGCGACGAUGCGUAGCCGACCUGAGAGGGUGAUCGGCCACACUGGGACUGAGACACGGCCCAGACUCCUACGGGAGGCAGCAGUAGGGAAUAUUCCGCAAUGGGCGAAAGCCUGACGGAGCGACGCCGCGUGAGCGAUGAAGGUCUUCGGAUCGUAAAGCUCUGUUGUUAGGGAAGAACAAGUACCGGAGUAACUGCCGGUACCUUGACGGUACCUAACCAGAAAGCCCCGGCUAACUACGUGCCAGCAGCCGCGGUAAUACGUAGGGGGCAAGCGUUGUCCGGAUUUAUUGGGCGUAAAGCGCGCGUAGGCGGUUUCUUAAGUCUGAUGUGAAAUCUUGCGGCUCAACCGCAAGCGGUCAUUGGAAACUGGGGAACUUGAGUGCAGAAGAGGAGAGUGGAAUUCCACGUGUAGCGGUGAAAUGCGUAGAGAUGUGGAGGAACACCAGUGGCGAAGGCGA
rnacentral:rRNA from 1 species